AACGCGAAGAACCUUACCUGGGCUCGAAGCGUAGUGGACGGAGGUAGAAAUAUCUCUUUCCCGCAAGGGACUGCUACGUAGGUGCUGCAUGGCUGUCGUCAGCUCGUGUCGUGAGAUGUUGGGUUAAGUCCCGCAACGAGCGCAACCCUUAUUGUCAGUUGCCAUCAUUCAGUUGGGCACUCUGGCGAAACCGCCUCGGAUAACGGGGAGGAAGGUGGGGAUGACGUCAAGUCCUCAUGGCCUUUAUGUCCAGGGCUACACACGUGCUACAAUGGGCAGUACAGAGGGGAACGAAGCCGAGAGGUGGAGUGAAUCUUAGAAAGCUGUUCGUAGUCCGGAUAGGAGUCUGCAACUCGACUCCUUGAAGUCGGAAUCGCUAGUAAUCGCGGAUCAGCAUUGCCGCGGUGAAUACGUUCCCGGGGCCUUGUACACACCGCGAGC
rnacentral:rRNA from 1 species